ACCGGCAGCUCAAGUGGUGGCCAUUUUUAUUGGGCCUAAAGCGUUCGUAGCCGGUUUGAUAAGUCUCUGGUGAAAUCCCGCAGCUUAACUGUGGGACUUGCUGGAGAUACUAUUAGACUUGAGGUCGGGAGAGGUUAGGGGUACUCCCAGGGGAGGGGUGAAAUCCAAGAAGCCGGGGGGGAACACCCGUGGCGAAGGCGCCUAACUGGAACGAACCUGACGGUGAGUAACGAAACCCAUGGGCGCGAACUG
rnacentral:rRNA from 1 species